UGUGGCUUAGCUGGUAAAGAAUCUGCCUGCGAUGCAGGAGACCUGGGUUUGAUCCCAGCA
rnacentral:tRNA from 1 species